UUCCAUCUAUGUAUAUGUAUGCUUUAAGAAAAAGAUAUAAUGAUUUCAAAGGCUCUCAGAUGGCUAUGAAUGAAUUUCUUCGGGAAGGUCGACAUCCGGAGCUAGCAUCCACACGAAACAUGGCCCUGCCAGCGGGUAUAAAGUUGGCACAUGAAUUAAGAACUCUAUCGAUUAAGAAACAUGACCCUGUCACGGGUAUAAUAGUGACCUUAGCACGAAUGUCUGUGAGCAAUAUUUUGAAACAUGACAUGAAUACAUGAUGAAAAUGAUUUACGAUUCAUGAUUGUGAAAUAUACAUGAUUUAUACAUGCAUGAUGAAUUUAUAACCUAUUUUGUUAUAUGCUCUAUAAAAUGCUUUAUUUUAUAUUACCUGCUAUUUUCUAAAUAUUAUAUUAUCAUGAAAAAACUUAUGGUUGAUCCGAUAAGGAAGCGCAAGUUCUACUUACUGGGCUAGUGUAGCUCAUAUUCUUUUUGUUUUCUUUUUGUUUGAACAGAGAAAUAAGGUUAG
rnacentral:lncRNA from 1 species